rnacentral:rRNA from 1 species
AUUGAACGCUGGCGGAAUGCUUUACACAUGCGAGUCGAACGGCAGCACGGGGGCAACCCUGGUGGCGAGUGGCGAACGGGUGAGUAAUACAUCGGAACGUGCCCAGUCGUGGGGGAUAACGUAGCGAAAGUUACGCUAAUACCGCAUACGAUCUAUGGAUGAAAGCGGGGGACCGUAAGGCCUCGCGCGAUUGGAGCGGCCGAUGUCAGAUUAGGUAGUAGGUGGGGUAAAGGCUCACCAAGCCGACGAUCUGUAGCUGGUCUGAGAGGACGACCAGCCACACUGGGACUGAGACACGGCCCAGACUCCUACGGGAGGCAGCAGUGGGGAAUUUUGGACAAUGGGCGCAAGCCUGAUCCAGCCAUUCCGCGUGCAGGAUGAAGGCCCUCGGGUUGUAAACUGCUUUUGUACGGAACGAAACGGUCUGCUCUAAUACAGCGGGCUAAUGACGGUACCGUAAGAAUAAGCACCGGCUAACUACGUGCCAGCAGCCGCGGUAA